GAUGAACGCUGGCGGCGUGCCUAAUACAUGCAAGUCGAGCGAACGGACGAGAAGCUUGCUUCUCUGAUGUUAGCGGCGGACGGGUGAGUAACACGUGGAUAACCUACCUAUAAGACUGGGAUAACUUCGGAAAACCGGAGCUAAUACCGGAUAAUAUUUUGAACCGCAUGGUUCAAAAGUGAAAGACGGUCUUGCUGUCACUUAUAGAUGGAUCCGCGCUGCAUUAGCUAGUUGGUAAGGUAACGGCUUACCAAGGCAACGAUGCAUAGCCGACCUGAGAGGGUGAUCGGCCACACUGGAACUGAGACAUGGUCCAGACUCCUACGGGAGGCAGCAGUAGGGAAUCUUCCGCAAUGGGCGAAAGCCUGACGGAGCAACGCCGCGUGAGUGAUGAAGGUCUUCGGAUCGUAAAACUCUGUUAUUAGGGAAGAACAUAUGUGUAAGUAACUGUGCACAUCUUGACGGUACCUAAUCAGAAAGCCACGGCUAACUACGUG
rnacentral:rRNA from 1 species